UUUAACUAGAUCGUUUUGUUCAUCACCCUGUGUUGAAAGAUAAGCUGCAACAUUACUAGCUGGUCUUUGGGUGGUGAUGGCUCAACCAUGUUCUUGGUCGAUUAAACCAGUAUUUAAAUCAAUCGGGUAAUAAAUCGCAUUGUGUAGAUUAUCUGUAGCAACAAAUCCUUUGGUUGGAUCAUUAUCAUCAACAAAGUAUAGGUGUUUAUAAUCAUUUGUUAAAGUGAUUGCUUGUAGUUGGUUGUUUAACGAAUCAUAAACACCUACUGUUGUUUGUUGGACUAGUUUUCUUUGCUCGUGAUCAAAGAUAACUGUAUUAUUUAAUCUAAUGUAGUUCUUACCUAAGAAUAAGGUUUGAUCGUUAUCGAUCUUCUUAUAUUUAGAUAGGUCGUUACUUCAUUUUUUUAGUGGUUGAUCUUGAUUAGUAGAAUCUUCAACUAAACUAACUGCUUGGUUAGUUAGGUUGUAGUUGAUGUUAGUACUAGUUUUAUUAACCAUUAAACCAGCUGAGACACCAAUUAGUGGUAGUGUUGCUAAACUACCUAAUAAAAUACUUUUUGCGAUUUUUUUGAUUUUCAUACUUGUAAUCAUAUGGUUGAUCGUGUCAUUAUUAUAAUGU
rnacentral:antisense_RNA from 1 species